AUGGGCAGGCAGCCUGUCACUGGAGAGCCGCUGACAGAAAUCUAUCCGCCAGAUGUACAGCGCUGUACCCAAGUCCUCUGCCCACACAGCUCAGCAGAAAACAUCUCACUCUCUCGCCAGCCGAGUCCUCUCAUUUCUCAGGGACAUUAUCACUCGCAUCAAGAGGUUUUCAGAGGAACGCGAGGAUCUCUGUUUCCGAAGGAGGACAGAAUAGAGCUCUGCAGCCCUGAGCCCCGAGGACGAAGGCGAGGAAAGGGGGCCAAGAUGGAGCCGAAGGGGAAGGGAGCGGGAUGGAGCCACCUGGAGGACCUCUAUUGGUUUGCUCAGAAGAGGCCGAAGCGACAGCGGAGGGAGAGAGAGAGAGAGAGAGAGAGAGAGAGAGAGAGAGACAGAGAGAGAGACAUCGAUGUGUCUGGAGAAGUGCGGAACGUGUUGCGUCACUCGACCAUGCAGAAUAUGUCCUCUUGCACAAACAGGAGACAAAGAGCUGGAGAUCAAGAUGGUUCCUCCCAUCCUCUGAUGUCAGCAGCUCUGGAGGACUCAGCACACCGGAUCUCGCAGUGUGCACAGCGGUUGCUCAAACACAAACAACGCGCAGAGCGUUGGCAACGAAAUGCGACGCGACGCCGGUCCCGCUAA
rnacentral:lncRNA from 1 species